UUAAAUGCGUAGUUAGGAAAUAUACCUUUGUAUACCUAAAAGUGUGUGUAGGCAACGAAGGGCCUCUUGAAAAAUGAAUUGUGCUGGAAGGUUUGGUUCGAGGGAAUAAAUCUCUGUUUAGGGAGAUUUGUGGAUUUUGGAGUCAGUGGCAGAUAGGUUAUACAACAACAACAACAAUAAUGACAUUCGAUUAGUGUCAGAUUUAAUCAAUGAAACAGAUAAAACUUGGAAGACAGAUAUGAUUAAUAAUACAUUUUAUCCGGAUGUCGCAAGAAAAAUUCUGCAGAUCUCAUUAGCACAGGCAGUUCAUGAAGAUAUUCAAAUUUGGCAAGGUGAGUCUUCCGGAGAAUUCACCGUCAAAAGUGCCUAUAAACUAUUACAAUAGGGUAAUUUUGAUCUUAGUGACAAUUUAUUAUAGACCGAGAAUUCUAUAGGAAAUUAUGGAAUUUACAAAUUCCCCCAAAAAUCAAAAUUACAGUGCGAAAGAUUUCCUAAAAUUACAUUCCUACACUAACUAAUCUCAACCAAAAAAGAGUGGUAGUGGCAAUAUCUUGCCCUAGAUCCCGUGGAUUAGAGAAGGAUAGGAAUCACAUCUUUCAAAGUUGUCCUACAAUAAUAAAAGUAUGGAACAAUUUGAAUAUGCCUUGGAUUUUAAACAAUACAAUCCAGAAUGCAUGGGUUUGGCUUACCUAGAUCUUUAAAUUGGAGACUUACGAACAGUGUAGGUUGUUUUGCUAUGGUUUACGGUCGAUCUGGACAUCAAGAAACCAAUUAGUGCAUUUCGAAAUGGAUUUUGAGUUAUGUUAAAAAACUGGAUUGAUUGGAAGAGAAGAAACUUGCCCAUAAAGUUGUUGAUGAACAAUGGAAAUCCUCGUUUGGUAUGAGGGUGAAAAUAAAUUUCGAUGCCUCAUUCGACAGUCAUUCCUCUAGCUCCUCCUCGGGUUUUGUUGUUAGGGAUUCAAGGGUGGGAUUUUGGUUUCGAAAACUGUCAUUCACCAUGCAGUGCCCUCUCCAUUUGCAGCAGAAGCAGAAGCACAUACAGAGUUACAAGCCAUUCAGUUUGGAGUUUUUUAUGGAUAUUAACUCAAUAAUAAUAGAAUGAGAUUCAAGAACGAUAAUCAAGAACUGUAACUCUACAAAUCUAGAUAAAUCAGUAAUUGGGGUUAUAAUUAGAGAUAUUCAAGGGAAAAAAUAACACUUUCAGGAGAUCUCUUUCCAGUUCAUACCCGGAUCGGCGAUUAAGCUCGCCCACGCAUUAGCACACAAAGAGUUGAAAAGUAGAGGGGAACAGUACCUGGUAGGAGGGGUGCCUAACUAUGUUCACUGAGAAAUGGAGAGGAGAAGGACUAAACAUCCAGAUUUAUAAUGGUUUCGAGAAGGUUCGCACAUAGGAAAUGAUAGUAGAAGGGAUGAGAUUUUUGGAAACUGCUAUCUUUUUGGUUGUUGGAACGACAAAGGCAGAAAUGUUUUGAUGAAGAAUGGAAUCCAGCUGUCACGUUUGACUAGAUAUUGUGUUAGGGUUUCCUUUUUCUUUUGUUAUUUUUUUAGUUUUUUUUUAAAUGUUUUUAAGCUUGUGUCUAAUGCUUGUAGUUUGGACCAGGUUUUGUUUUUUAGUUCUUGUAUUCCGCUUCUUCAGUUUUGGGCUGUGCCUAG
rnacentral:lncRNA from 1 species